CUCCCUCCCUCCCUCCCUCUCCGUCUCUACCCCUCCCUCCCUCUCUCUCCCCCUCCCUCCCUCCCCCUCUCUCUCUCUCUCUCUCUCUCUCUCUCUCUCUCCCUACCUCUCUCCCCCCCUCCCUCUCCCCCUCCCUCUCUCUGUCCUUGGUGCAGUUUGAGGUUUCAGAUCUGUGGAUCUCAUUCCGAUGGGAUCUGGAUGGUCUGGUUCCUCGGCACGUGGUCUUGAGGGUCUCGGAAACUAGGUUGUGGUGACCUACUUCCUUUUUUUUUUUUUGUACGAGUUUCUGAUGGAGCUAAUGAAGCCUCUUUUCUGUAGCCCUGCUAAAUCGGAUCAAGCUACACAGUGUUACUGUGAAUCUAGGUCAAGGUGAUCUGUUGUAUGACAGGACAGAUACCUGUAUUGUAAGAGAUAGAUAGAUUGAUAGAUAGAUAGAUAGAUAGAUAGAUAGAUAGAUAGGUGUAUAUAUAUAUAUAUAUAUAGAGAGAGAGAGAGAGAGAGAUCGAUAGAUAGAUAGAUAGAUAGAUAGAUAGAUAGAUAGAUAGAUAGAUAGAUAGAUAGAUAGGUGUAUAUAUAUAUAUAUAUAGAGAGAGAGAGAGAGAGAUCGAUAGAUAGAUAGAUAGAUAGAUAGGUAUAUAUAUAUAUAUAUAUAUAAAGAUAGGUGUAUAUAUAUAUAUAUAUAUAUAUAAAGAUAUAGAUACAGAUAGAGAUAGAUAGAUAGAUAGAUAUAGAUACAGAUAUAGAGAUAGAUAGAGUUGCGUCCGCUGGUUGUUUAAAACACGUUCCUGACAUACUGUGAAAAAUGCAGUAAAAGUUCAGAAAAUUCAGAUUCGUUUCUGCUGAAGUGCUAAAUGGCUGCACGUUUCCAGAAAAAACAUAUAAAACCAAACAAACAAAAAUGAAAAGAAGAGUGUUUAAAUUCUUUGUGCGUGCGUGCGUUUUUGUAGUUUGCUUUUGAGUGAGGGAGUUUUAAGAGUUUUGAGAGCACUGAUCCAGUGGCAGCGCUCUGAACUGGGUCGUUCUUUUCUCAGACUCCUUUUGUGCGUCUCAGGCUUAAAAAAAAAACAAAAAACUAAGGGAUACUGCUUCCAAACGGGUCAGUGCUUGAUGCUUGAUGCUUUAGAAAAAUCAUCAGUUUUAAAAAAAAAAAAAAAGUGUGGCAGCUUUUCUAAACCUGGGCUUGGGUUUGAAUCUAAAAUUAACCUCAGGGUUACAUGAACUUUUUCUUUCACAUGCGUAUUUAAAUAUAUAUUCAAAGCGUUCAUACAUUUCCUACAGCAUGGCAUUUGUAUAUAUCCAAAAAUGUGUCAUGCAUCUAAAUCUGUGCGAUACAUUUCAAAAGUCUGAAGCCACGCAUUGGACUUUGGCCUUCGCUCGUAACACUUAGAUUAGCCAGGAAGUGGCACAGGACGCUUCAACCGAGAGCUGGGAAACGUAAUUCAAUCCGCUGUUUUAGAAAACAGGCUGGCCACACUUUUUUUUUUUUGUGGGUGCGUGGGCGGUUCCGUCUGCAUUUUGCAGGAGACGAUCAGAUCUUGGAAAGCGAAAUAUAACCCACCUGAUCUUAAAAAAAAGGUGACAGAAUUCAGGAGGGCCGUGUCUUUGGAAGCUGGCACUUUGCUUGCUAGACAGCCGUCCCAAGACAGCGGUACAGAACACAGGCCUGUUGUGGUGAUCAGUGCCCGUUCCAUCCUCAUCAGGUCUGCCUUGCAGGUUCGGUUUCUAAGACUCUGUGGUUUUUGGUGGGUGUUAUAUUUGUUACAGGGAAGUAGUGGGGAGCAAAUUUUGUAUUUAUUUAUUUUUAUUCUACAAUCCUUUUAUCCAGGAAUUACUUGAGAUUUCUUGAGCAAAAAAAGUGUUCGUUGCACAACCUUAGAGACACCCUAGAGAUGCAAUAAGUUAAUACCUUGUCUUUUUAAAGCUGAAGGGACACGAAGCCACCGCUCUGAGGCUUGGAGCUUCAGGUUUCAGGAGACUGUAGGUUUCAGGGCGCUGCACGGCACACCAGGCAGGGAGACUUGGGGGGGUUUGAUACAGCAAACCUCAAACUAGGUCUCCCGGGGGUCUCCCGGAACCAGCUUUCAAGCUCCUGAGAAAGUGGCUUCGUGUUCAUUUCUGCUUUACUGUUACAAGAGAUUGCGCAGUUUGUUUGACCUUGCAGAAGGAUUUAUUUUAAAAUGAGACGCGCCAACAAUGCAUUCACUUAUUAUAAAUCACAAAACGCAGGUUGUAGCGCUCCGAAACCUUGAUUUUAAAGCCGUUGUUAUUUCACCGGUGUCCUGUUCUGUUGCAUGAUCUAUACACAGGAUAAGAUGUACUGGAAUGUUUUUAUUUAUUUUUAAUAUACAAAUCCUUAACAGUGAUUUCUUGUCAAUGAUUUCUAAGUGAUCGCAUUCUGAGGUACCCCCACGUGCAACGGACCGGAUCCGUUCUACCUUUUUGAUUUGAGAAUCUCAAUUAAUUACACCUUAAACGAGUGAAGGGGGGGGGGGGGGUCUGAAAAUGAGAACAUUUAGCCCAUCCCUAGUUGCAGGUUCCUGCAGCCAUAGCCAGCGCAAUCAGAACUUUUUCAUGGUAGUUUCUAGGGAAUAGUGUUAUUUUUCUAGACCCUAGAAAUUAUUAUUAUUAUUUUUUUUUUUUUUACCAGAUCCUGAGCAAGCUAAAAAAAAAAAAAUCCUCCCUAAACUGGUCUAACUACCCACCAAAGUCCGAUUUUUGUCUUUUAAAACAAAAGGAAUCUGCCGAGUUUUUAACAGACCAGCCUCUGUUCUGAAUCCCCACCAAGCACUGGCUCCAGAGCUCCAUUCUAUUGAACUUUGACAACUUUGCCUCCAUUGAGUUUUAGAAGCAACUAAACACAGUGUGAUCUAUCUGAAUGACAAUCUAUAAGAGAGUAAACAGACCCCUGUUCAAUGUGUAAUGAUAUGUUCCUAGAAUACCAUUUAUUUUCUUGUGUUUAAUUUGUGCUGGUGACAGUUAUAUUGUACAUUAUUUUUAAAGAAAAGAAACCAUAUUUUUUUUCUGUUUUGUGUAGGGUAGUCUUGUUUUAUUAUGAUUAUUAUUAUUAUUAUUAUUAUUAUUAUUAUUAUUAUUAUUAUUAUUAUUAUAUAAAUAUAUAUAUUUUUUUGUUUUUGUUUCUUAAAAGGGGUGUUGCUAAAAUUGCACGGUUUCUAAAACGAGCGUAAUUAUAAUAUUAGUAAAUAAUAAUAAUACAUAAAUAAAAAAAUAAAUAAAAAAUACAAAGUUUUAAAAAUACCAGAAUUUCAAUGCUGCAUUUUUUUUUUUUAAGUGUAAAAGUGUACAAGCUUAGAAGUGACAAUUAUGGAGUUAAUUUAUUUCUUGAAAACAUAUAAAAUGGAAAAUAAAAGAUUUGUAUAAUGUAAAUGCAUGGGAUUUAAAAAAAAAAAAAAACUGCAAAAAAAUGAAACGUAUAGAAAAUAUAUAUAUAUAAACCUCAAAAGAAAAAAAACUGUAGCUUAAAAAAAAACAUUUUUCAAAGAAGAAAAAAAUAUAGCUAAUAUAUUGUGUUCGGCUAAAAAAAAAGAGUCUGCUUUUCUGUUUUGUUGUUUUAAAAAAAAAGGUUUCUUCGUUGUUUUUGGAGAACGAUAUACCGUUUGUGUAUAUUUUCAUAAACAAAGUAUGCACUGAUAUGUUAUAAAAAAAUAAUAAUUCUAUACUGCUUUUACAAAAAAAAAAAAGUGUUUGUAAUUGUACCAAAGUAUCCAUUUUUGUUCCUUGAGACCUGCCCUUUUUUGCGUAUGUUUGACCGUAUUUUAUAUAUUAAAUAGACAAGCUGACCUGAAA